CAUUCUAAGACUCACAAACAAUCCACCGUUCCCAUUUUGGAGCCUUUCUCAAUCCUCAGCCAUGCUCGUAUUCCUGAUGUGUUGCUAUUCCCGCGGGAGUCGUCUGCCUCCUCGACUUCUCCUCGCUUAACUCGUGUCUUUCAUCUUCCCGCUGAUGAUGUCAAUGCACAACGGGUGCACUUUUAUUUUCGUGGUGGGCAUCUUUUUGCGCUCUUUUCCGUCGUCUUCCUAUUCUCCGUCAACGAGCCAACAGGUAAACAACCCCCGCCCCCCCAAAAAAAACUCCUGGGGCGCUCAUCCGGCUAUCGUGUGUGUGUGUGUGUGUGUGUCUCUCUCUCUCUCUCACACACACACACUGCUUCAAUUUCCCCGACUGCUCUUUCUUUGUCAGCGGCUUCCAGUCACCACACGAGGAGUCCAGUGCCGCUAUGCACCUGGUCCGCUCUUGCUUGACCCCUCUCCCCCCUCCGCCCGCCCCCGCAAGUCCUGUUAUGGACACGAUCUGUAAUAGAGCCUGGACACCAGCUGGGUUUCAUCUAUUUAGCUUUGUCCUACUUGAGGAGGGAACGACAGGGGAAGGGGAGGGUGUGGGGGGGGGGGGUCUGUGGGGGGGGGAGAAUAUGGAUGCUGCUGUUGUGAUGUUGGCUCUCAACGUCUUAGUGAGGCUGCACAAGAGACGCUAUAUAAAAAAAAAGAAA